UGGAGACUGAGGCCCUCAGAAGGCAAGUUCCUCCCUGAUGCCACACAGGGUGCUUUCACGGCAAUUAACUAAAGAAGCCCCUUCCAGGCAGAGUGCACACUUUGGGAUAUGAUCAACAUGUCCAAGUCCCAUGAGUAAUGGCAGGACCAGGACUCGAACCCAGGCCUGUUUAACCCUGGAGACGGCCCAUGAUUAUUCAGGAGGAGGCUGAGGCCAGGCCUUCUGCUCUCAGUAGGCCUUGAAGCAGAUGAGGAAACAGAGACCCGGAGAGAUACAGUCCUUGGCCAGUCAGCCAAGUUGGAGCAUAGCUUGGACUUUGAACCCAGUCUCCCAGCUCCCAGUCUGCCUGCAGCCCUGUCCCUCUCCACCCCCAAGCCCUGACCAGAAUUCUCUUCUGUACAUCCAGAAGGGCUUUCCCAUUCCUCAGACUCUCUGAGGCAAUUACAGUCCCUACCACUCAUGUGGCCCUUAAUCAUUUACUGCCCUUGCAAACAGCCUGUGGUCAAAAGCAAUAAAGUUCGGACUUGGACAGAUCAGACCUCGUGUGGCUGUUGUUUGUGCACACGGCCCACCUCCUUUACUGACUGGAAGAGCUCAGAGGGCAAGAACCAGGUGGCUAGAGGUUUCCGUGUUCUCCCUGCCCUGCUGCC
rnacentral:lncRNA from 1 species